AAAUUGAAGAGUUUGAUCAUGGCUCAGAUUGAACGCUGGCGGCAGGCCUAACACAUGCAAGUCGAACGGUAACAGGAAGCAGCUUGCUGCUUUGCUGACGAGUGGCGGACGGGUGAGUAAUGUCUGGGAAACUGCCUGAUGGAGGGGGAUAACUACUGGAAACGGUAGCUAAUACCGCAUAACGUCGCAAGACCAAAGAGGGGGACCUUCGGGCCUCUUGCCAUCGGAUGUGCCCAGAUGGGAUUAGCUAGUAGGUGGGGUAACGGCUCACCUAGGCGACGAUCCCUAGCUGGUCUGAGAGGAUGACCAGCCACACUGGAACUGAGACACGGUCCAGACUCCUACGGGAGGCAGCAGUGGGGAAUAUUGCACAAUGGGCGCAAGCCUGAUGCAGCCAUGCCGCGUGUAUGAAGAAGGCCUUCGGGUUGUAAAGUACUUUCAGCGGGGAGGAAGGGAGUAAAGUUAAUACCUUUGCUCAUUGACGUUACCCGCAGAAGAAGCACCGGCUAACUCCGUGCCAGCAGCCGCGGUAAUACGGAGGGUGCAAGCGUUAAUCGGAAUUACUGGGCGUAAAGCGCACGCAGGCGGUUUGUUAAGUCAGAUGUGAAAUCCCCGGGCUCAACCUGGGAACUGCAUCUGAUACUGGCAGGCUUGAGUCUCGUAGAGGGGGGUAGAAUUCCAGGUGUAGCGGUGAAAUGCGUAGAGAUCUGGAGGAAUACCGGUGGCGAAGGCGGCCCCCUGGACGAAGACUGACGCUCAGGUGCGAAAGCGUGGGGAGCAAACAGGAUUAGAUACCCUGGUAGUCCACGCCGUAAACGAUGUCGACUUGGAGGUUGUGCCCUUGAGGCGUGGCUUCCGGAGCUAACGCGUUAAGUCGACCGCCUGGGGAGUACGGCCGCAAGGUUAAAACUCAAAUGAAUUGACGGGGGCCCGCACAAGCGGUGGAGCAUGUGGUUUAAUUCGAUGCAACGCGAAGAACCUUACCUGGUCUUGACAUCCACGGAAGUUUUCAGAGAUGAGAAUGUGCCUUCGGGAACCGUGAGACAGGUGCUGCAUGGCUGUCGUCAGCUCGUGUUGUGAAAUGUUGGGUUAAGUCCCGCAACGAGCGCAACCCUUAUCCUUUGUUGCCAGCGGUCCGGCCGGGAACUCAAAGGAGACUGCCAGUGAUAAACUGGAGGAAGGUGGGGAUGACGUCAAGUCAUCAUGGCCCUUACGACCAGGGCUACACACGUGCUACAAUGGCGCAUACAAAGAGAAGCGACCUCGCGAGAGCAAGCGGACCUCAUAAAGUGCGUCGUAGUCCGGAUUGGAGUCUGCAACUCGACUCCAUGAAGUCGGAAUCGCUAGUAAUCGUGGAUCAGAAUGCCACGGUGAAUACGUUCCCGGGCCUUGUACACACCGCCCGUCACACCAUGGGAGUGGGUUGCAAAAGAAGUAGGUAGCUUAACCUUCGGGAGGGCGCUUACCACUUUGUGAUUCAUGACUGGGGUGAAGUCGUAACAAGGUAACCGUAGGGGAACCUGCGGUUGGAUCACCUCCUUACCUUAAAGAAGC
rnacentral:rRNA from 1 species